rnacentral:rRNA from 1 species
GAGGGGCAUCACGAGGUAGCAAUACUUUGGUGGCGACCGGCGCACGGGUGCGUAACGCGUAUGUAACCUACCUAUAACAGGGGCAUAACACUGAGAAAUUGGUACUAAUUCCCCAUAAUAUUCGGAGAGGCAUCUCUCCGGGUUGAAAACUCCGGUGGUUAUAGAUGGACAUGCGUUGUAUUAGCUAGUUGGUGAGGUAACGGCUCACCAAGGCAACGAUACAUAGGGGGACUGAGAGGUUAACCCCCCACACUGGUACUGAGACACGGACCAGACUCCUACGGGAGGCAGCAGUGAGGAAUAUUGGUCAAUGGACGCAAGUCUGAACCAGCCAUGCCGCGUGCAGGAAGACGGCUCUAUGAGUUGUAAACUGCUUUUGUACGAGGGUAAACUCACCUACGUGUAGGUGACUGAAAGUAUCGUACGAAUAAGGAUCGGCUAACUCCGUGCCAGCAGCCGCGGUAAUACGGAGGAUUCAAGCGUUAUCCGGAUUUAUUGGGUUUAAAGGGUGCGUAGGCGGUUUGAUAAGUUAGAGGUGAAAUCCCGGGGGCUUAACUCCGGAACUGCCUCUAAUACUGUUAGACUAGAGAGUAGUUGCGGUAGGCGGAAUGUAUGGUGUAGCGGUGAAAUGCUUAGAGAUCAUACAGAACACCGAUUGCGAAGGCAGCUUACCAAACUAUAUCUGACG